rnacentral:rRNA from 1 species
UACAGAGGGGGCGAGCGUUGUUCGGAAUUACUGGGCGUAAAGGGCGCGUAGGCGGCCCGCUAAGUCGAACGUGAAAUCCCCGGGCUCAACCCGGGAACUGCGUCCGAUACUGGAAGGCUUGAAUCCGGGAGAGGGAUGCGGAAUUCCAGGUGUAGCGGUGAAAUGCGUAGAUAUCUGGAGGAACACCGGUGGCGAAGGCGGCGUUCUGGACUGCAACUGACACUGAUGAACGAAAGCCAGGGGAGCAAACGGG